AUCCUUUCGUAGUUCUUGAGUGUGAGGAUCGGGUACUCACACUCAGGUGUGAGAUGUGCCACCCUCGAACCUCAUUUUGAAGUCAGCACGUUACCUGUCUGACA
rfam:Pongo abelii chromosome 3.